ACUUUAGAUCCUAUUUUCGUUGGUUUAGGUACUUCAGUAAUGAUGAAUAGAAACGGUUAGGGGCAUUUGUAUUUGGUCGCUAGAGGUGAAAUUCUUGGAUUGA
rnacentral:rRNA from 1 species